rnacentral:rRNA from 1 species
GAAGCAUGUAUUACUUAGUGGCGAACGGGUGAGUAACGCGUGAGCAACCUGCCUCUGAGAGGGGGACAACAGUUGGAAACGACUGCUAAUACCGCAUAAGCCCACGGUACCGCAUGGUACAGGGGGAAAAGGAGAAAUCCACUCAGAGAUGGGCUCGCGUCCGAUUAGGUAGUUGGUGAGGUAACGGCCCACCAAGCCGACGAUCGGCAGCCGGACUGAGAGGUUGAACGGCCACAUUGGGACUGAGAUACGGCCCAGACUCCUACGGGAGGCAGCAGUGGGGAAUAUUGCACAAUGGGGGAAACCCUGAUGCAGCGACGCCGCGUGGAGGAAGAAGGUUUUCGGAUUGUAAACUCCUGUCGUUGAGGACGAAGAAUGACGGUACUCAACAAGAAAGCCACGGCUAACUACGUGCCAGCAGCCGCGGUAAAACGUAGGUGGCAAGCGUUGUCCGGAAUUACUGGGUGUAAAGGGAGCGCAGGCGGAUUGUCAAGUUGGAUGUGAAACCUACGGGCUCAACCCGUAGCCUGCAUCCAAAACUGGCGAUCUUGAGUAGUGUAGAGGUAGGCGGAAUUCCCGGUGUAGCGGCGGAAUGCGUAGAUAUCGGGAAGAACACCAGUGGCGAAGGCGGCCUACUGGGCACCAACUGACGCUGAGGCUCGAAAGUAUGGGUAGCAAACAGGAUUAGAUACCCUGGUAGUCCAUACCGUAAACGAUGAUUACUAGGUGUUGGAGGAUUGACCCCUUCAGUGCCGCAGUUAACACAAUAAGUAAUCCACCUGGGGAGUACGACCGCAAGGUUGAAACUCAAAGGAAUUGACGGGGGCCCGCACAAGCAGUGGAGUAUGUGGUUUAAUUCGACGCAACGCGAAGAACCUUACCAGGCUUUGACAUCCCGUGAAUAGCGCAGAGAUGCGUGAAGCCCUUCGGGGCACGGAGACAGGUGGUGCAUGGUUGUCGUCAGCUCGUGUCGUGAGAUGUUGGGUUAAGUCCCGCAACGAGCGCAACCCUUAUGGUCAGUUACUACGAAAGAGGACUCUGGCCAGACUGCCGUUGACAAAACGGAGGAAGGUGGGGAUGACGUCAAAUCAUCAUGCCCCUUAUAGCCUGGGCUACACACGUACUACAAUGGCGUUCAACAAAGAGAAGCGAAAGCGCGAGCUGGAGCAAAACUCAAAAACAACGUCUCAGUUCAGACUGCAGGCUGCAACUCGCCUGCACGAAGGAGGAAUUGCUAGUAAUCGCGGAUCAGCAUGCCGCGGUGAAUACGUUCCCGGGCCUUGUACACACCGCCCGUCACACCAUGAGAGCUGGGGGGACCCGAAGUCGGUAGU